AAGAACACAGGAAAUAACAUUUCCUGCUCUAAUUGUGUCAGUUUCUGACAACGGCUAUAGCCUACACAGCAGGGUAAUUCAACAUUCACAAGACUUGUAAGUUACAUUGUAAAAUGGCUUCUUCCUUGAAACGACGCAAAACGUGCUUGAUGCUAAAAGUGAAUAUAUAGGAAAUGGAGGCUCUGCAGAGGAAGCACAAAAAAAACGCCAUACCUUGAUGAUAACGAUACCUCAGAUGGAAUAAGGGAAGAACAGACAGAGCCAUCUGUUCCUGACUAUCAAUCAAU